AGGUGUCCAAGCUUGAAGAGUUACAACAACAACAUUCAGCAGUACAAGAAGAUUUGAAAUCCACGCAAAGUACAUCAGAAGAAAGACGUUUAGAGCUUUUGCAAGUACAGUUAGAUUUUACACAGCAUAAAGAAUCUAAGGAGAGUGAAAUAAAUUCCAUGAAAGAAACAAAUACUAAAUUAGAAGAGAAGAAUGUGAGCACUGCUGAAAAACUCAAAGCAAAGAAACUGGAAUUAGAGACAUUGAAAGAGUCCCAUGAAGAGGUCAAACUGUUACUGUCACAAACUAACAAACAGGUGGAUGAAUACAAGUCCCAGUCAGAAGAACUGGAAAGUAAUCUUGAAAAGG